rnacentral:lncRNA from 1 species
UUUUUUUUAUAAUCCAUCAAAUUGAGAGAAAUUGCUAUUUUUAUAAAACCAACUUUCAUUGAAAAAAAAACUUUGUUCUUAAAAGUUGAAAUGUAUACCACCGAUUCAAAGGUAAGGUAUAAGGGUUUACAUCCAUUCGCCCAUCCAUCAGUACGUAACGCAAUUCUAUCGCACUUUUUUUCUCGGCAACUACACGUCAUAGCUCUUGAUUACAUGACACCAAGCUUCGUUUGGUUAUGCAGUUCAAUGUGACAAGUAAUCAGCUCAUCUGAUGGUCUACUUCCUGUUUUCCAAAUUCAUAAAACAUGCUAAUCUUUAAUCCAUAAAAAUAAAAAAAAAGAUGAAAGCUUAAAAUUAAAACACACAUUUCGAAAAAUAGACAAGAUUGUCAACGAUAGAAACAACACAGACAUUAAAAAACGAAAUAACAAAAAAUACAACAUUGAAAACUAUUACAAAAGCAACAAGAUGAAACAGAGAAUGGAAAUUGAGAAUGUGUCCAAGAGAUAACAACCCGACCAAAGAGUAUAAAACAGCCCAAGGCCACAAAUGGGUCUUCAACACAGCGAGAAAAUCCCACACCCAGAGGCGUGCUUUAGUUGACCCCUAAACACAAAAGUGUAUAUAUACUAGUUCAGUGAAAAUGGACAGCAUACUAAACUCCAAAACAUAUAAAUGAACUGCAAUAAAAAAAAACACAUAAACAAUUAACAAAGGUCAGAGGAUCUUGACUUGGAACAGGCGCAAAAUUGCGUCGAGGUUAAACAUGUUUUGUGAGAUAUCAACCCUCAUCCAAUACCUCUAGCCAAUGUAGAAUAAACAAACACACAUCAAUAUAUACGCACAGUAAAAUUCAGUUUAAAAGAAGUCCGAGUCCAUUAUCAGAAAUAAACUCAUGUAUACCAGGAUUGAAAUUUUGUAUUUACGCCAGACCUACGUUUCGUCUACACAAGACUCAUCAGUGACACUCGAUUAAAAAAAAGUUAAAAAGGCCA